rnacentral:rRNA from 1 species
CAAUAGCGUAUAUUAAAGUUGUUGCAGUUAAAAAGCUCGUAGUUGGAUUUCUGGUGGGAGCGAUCGGUCUGGCGCUUAGCGCGAGUACUUGCAUCGUCUCCGGCCAUCCUUGGGGAGAGUCUGUCUGGCAUUAGGUUGUCGGGCAGAGGAUCCUCAUCGUUUACUGUGAAAAAAUUAGAGUGUUCAAAGCAGGCUUAUGCCGUUGAAUAUAUUAGCAUGGAAUAAUAAGAUAGGACUUUGGUACUAUUUUGUUGGUUUGCGCACCAAAGUAAUGAUUAAUAGGGACAGUUGGGGGUAUUCGUAUUCCGUUGUCAGAGGUGAAAUUCUUGGAUUUACGGAAGACGAACAACUGCGAAAGCAUUUGCCAAGGAUGUUUUCAUUAA